UUGCUUUGGCAGCACACAUGCUAAAAUUGGAACAAUACAGAAAAGAUUAGCAUGGCCCCUGUGCAAGGAUUUCAUGCAAAUUCGUGAAGUGUUCCAUAUUUUU